rnacentral:pre_miRNA from 1 species
UAUAUACUCCCUCCGUCCCAAAAUUCUUGUCUUAGAUUUGUCAAAAUAUAAAUGUAUCUAGUCAUGUUUUAGUAUUUAGAUACGUUCAUUUUUAAACAAACUUAAAACAAGAAUUUAGGGACGGAGGGAGUAUGAG